rnacentral:lncRNA from 1 species
UCGCAAGUUCUAGGCCAGCCUCAGCAAUUUUAGCAAGGCCCUGAGCAACUUAGGGAGACCCUAGCUUAAAAAAUACAUUUGAAAGUGGACUGAGGAUGUGGCUUAGUGGUAAAGUGCUUCUGGGUUCAAUCCCUGGUACUGAAAAUAAAAAUUAAAACAACAGCAGCAACAAACAAACAACUCUGUCCUAGCUGCUGCUAGGCUGUAAAGAAUGAGGUCAGCAAAAGUCAUUUGAGCAUAUAAAGUGAUACUGUUAUGAAUUUGAAAGCAAAGUUGGCUAUGGAUAAAUAAUUUGACACAAGGCUGUGGCUUGAGCUAAAAUUAAUCAGCAAACUAAUCAACAUGUACCUUCAGUUGGCAGUACUAUUUUAAGGUGGAAUGGUUCUGGAUAAUGUAAAUUAACAAGGUAUCUAGUUUGUUUUUAACCCUGUGUGUGUGUUUAUUGAAUAAUACUAGCCAUGGGCCUGGAGUGUAGCUCAGUGGUAGAGCGCUUGCCUAGCAUACAUAAGGUCCUGUGUUUGAUACCCAGCACUGCAAAUACAUGAGUAAUUAAGGCCAUAAUAAUUGACAGCAUGCCAAGCACUAUUCUAAGUGUUCUAUGUGAAUUGCCUUAUUUCAUUGUCACAUCCACUGUGUGAGGUGGGCAUUAUUAUUUUAUAGAUCUGGAAACAGGCAUAAGGAAGGUGUGUAAUUUUCCAAAAGUUAACAUAACUAGAACCAUAACUAGCACCAUGAGGAAGAACAUGGUGGAGUUAACUUAAAAUGAUUUAAGGAUAUUGAUUCCAGUUUCCAUGCUGACUUUGUUGAUUCACAUGUUAGAUUGGUUAAGGAAGAUAUUCAUAGCAGAAAUUCUUUUGUUAUUAAUUAUUUUUUUCAGAUUUUGGAAAUUUAAGUUACCUAUUGGAUGGUGAAAUAUUUUGAGAUAAUUAUGCUUCUAAAUGCUGCUUGCUCUCCUACUUUUAUAAAAUAAUUGUGGACUUUAAUUGUAGAUGGAUUAAGCAUUGGUUUUAAUAACUUAAGAGUUUGCAAGGCUGCGACAGUUGUUU